rnacentral:rRNA from 1 species
CCUGCCUGCCCUGUGACUAUGAGUUUAACGGCCGCGGUAUUUUGACCGUGCAAAGGUAGCGCAAUCACUUGUCUUUUAAAUGAAGACCCGAUGAAUGGCAAGACGAGGGCUAAGCUGUCUCCUUCUCCAAGUCAGUGAAAUUGAUCUCCCCGUGCAGAAGCGGGGAUUCCCUCAUAAGACGAGAAGACCCUAUGGAGCUUUAGACGCUAGGAAGACCAUGUUAAACAACCCCUUGUGCGGGAGAGAACUUAGUGGCACCUAUCUUGACUGUCUUCGGUUGGGGCGACCGCGGGGGAAAAGACAGCCCCCAUGUGGAACGGGAGGAAAUACUCCUAGAGCUAAGAGUUACCACUCUAAGCAACAGAAAUUCUGACCAGGAUGAUCCGGCAUAGCCGAUCAACGGACCCAGUUACCCUAGGGAUAACAGCGCAAUCCCCUCCCAGAGUCCCUAUCGACGAGGGGGUUUACGACCUCGAUGUUGGAUCAGGACAUCCUAAUGGUGUAGCCGCUAUUAAGGG